AAACCAGAGUUUGUUUUUCUCUCUUCUCUUCAGGACUCUGGGUUAUAAGAACCGGUACGUUCGAGUUCCCGACGGUCACUUCUGGAUCGAGGGGGAUCAUCACGGACACAGUCUGGACAGCAACAGCUUUGGACCGGUGUCAGUGGGGUUGCUUCAUGGUCGGGCCUCUCACAUCAUCUGGCCCCCAAAUCGCUGGCAGCAAAUCAAACCGUCUCUUCCCCCAAACCGAGGACCACUGGACACUGAGGAAGACGAUUGAUGAAGGAUGAGUAAUGUCAUCUAAACUGAAGUGAGGUGUCAGUUAGCUGCAGUGUUUCAAGGACAAAUUCAAACCACACGUUGUAUCAUUAGUAUUUUAUCUAAAAUGUACAUUUGCGGAGGCUCUCCGAGUUCGAUUACUGAUCAUGUAAAUUGUUCGACUGUACAUUGAUUUGUUCAUGUUGCCACAGUCCAGUUAACAGGGACUCGAACCUGUGACGUUUGCAGGUUAUUUGAGCCACAACCACAUUAAGAGCUGAAGUCCUGACCUAGACCUCAAAACAACUAGUUGAUUAUGAUGAUUGAUUGUUUUUUAAGCAAAAAUGCCAAAUAUUCUCUGUUUCCAGGGUCCUAAAUGUGAUGAUUUGCUGCUGUUCUGUUUUAUAUUGUUGUGAACUGAAUAUGUUUUAAACUGUCGAUCAAAUAAAAGAAGAGAUUUCAAGACAGAA